GGCGGCACGCCUAACACAUGCAAGUCGAACGAAGUAGCAAUACUUAGUGGCGAACGGGUGAGUAUAAUGUAGGUAUCUGCCCUUUGGUUUGGAAUAACACGAGGAAACUUGUGCUAAUACCAGAUAAGCCUUCACAGGGAAAGCUUUAGCGCCAAAGGAUGAGCCUGCACUUGAUUAGCUAGUUGGUAAGGUAAUGGCUUACCAAGGCUACGAUCAAUAGCUGAUCUGAGAGGAUGAUCAGCCACAUUGGGACUGAGAUACGGCCCAGACUCCUACGGGAGGCAGCAGUGGGGAAUCUUGCACAAUGGGGGAAACCCUGAUGCAGCGAUGCCGCGUGAGUGAAGAAGGCCUUUGGGUUGUAAAGCUCUUUCGUCGGGGAAGAAAAUGACUGUACCCGAAUAAGAAGGUCCGGCUAACUUCGUGCCAGCAGCCGCGGUAAUACGAAGGGACCUAGCGUAGUUCGGAAUUACUGGGCUUAAAGAGCACGUAGGUGGUUAGAAAAGUUGGUGGUGAAAUCCCAGGGCUUAACCCUGGAACUGCUACCAAAACUUUUUGACUAGAGUGUGAUAGAGGUAAGCGGAAUUUCUAGUGUAGAGGUGAAAUUCGUAGAUAUUAGAAAGAACACCAAUUGCGAAGGCAGCUUUCUGGAUCAUUACUGACACUGAGGUGCGAAAGCAUGGGUAGCGAAGAGGAUUAGAUACCCUCGUAGUCCAUGCUGUAAACGAUGUGUGCUAGAUGUUGGGAAUUUUAUUCUCAGUGUCGCAGCAAAAGCGUUAAGCACACCGCCUGGGGAGUACGACCGCAAGGUUUAAAACCUCAAAUGGAAUUGAAGU
rnacentral:rRNA from 1 species